rnacentral:rRNA from 1 species
GUAUAACUUAGUGGCAGACGGGUGAGUAAUGUAUAGGAAUCUACCUAGUAGUACGGAAUAAUUGUUGGAAACGGCAACUAAUACCGUAUACGCCCUACGGGGGAAAAAUUUAUUGCUAUUAGAUGAGCCUAUAUUAGAUUAGCUAGUUGGUGGAGUAAUAGCCUACCAAGGCAAUGAUCUAUAGCUGAUCUGAGAGGAUGAUCAGCCACACUGGAACUGAGAUACGGUCCAGACUCCUACGGGAGGCAGCAGUGGGGAAUAUUGGACAAUGGGCGAAAGCCUGAUCCAGCUAUGCCGCAUGAGUGAAGAAGGCCUUUGGGUUGUAAAGCUCUUUUAGUGAGGAAGAUAAUGACGGUACUCACAGAAGAAGUCCUGGCUAACUCCGUGCCAGCAGCCGCGGUAAUACGGAGAGGGCUAGCGUUAUUCGGAAUUAUUGGGCGUAAAGGGCGCGUAGGCUGAUUAAUAAGUUAAAAGUGAAAUCCCGAGGCUUAACCUUGGAACUGCUUUUAAAACUAUUAAUCUAGAGAUUGAAAGAGGAUAGAGGAAUUCCUGAUGUAGAGGUAAAAUUCGUAAAUAUUAGGAGGAACACCAGUGGCGAAGGCGUCUAUCUGGUUCAAAUCUGACGCUGAGGCGCGAAGGCGUGGGGAGCAAACAGGAUUAGAUACCCUGGUAGUCCACGCUAUAAACGAUGAAUGUUAAAUAUGGGAAGUUUGCUUUCUGUAUUACAGCUAACGCGUUAAACAUUCCGCCUGGGGACUACGGUCGCAAGAUUAAAACUCAAAGGAAUUGACGGGGACCCGCACAAGCGGUGGAGCAUGUGGUUUAAUUCGAUGCAACGCGAAAAACCUUACCACUUCUUGACAUG